CUUUAAAAGCUGCCGCUCUCUACUUUCUCCUGGGUGAUGGGUCCUGCCUCUGAAGCUAGGACGAUCUGGGUAGGCAGGAAUCCUGCCUUCCAAGACCGGCAGGAGGCGUGGUUCCCCGGGCUGUACGGAUGAUACAAGGUCUUGACUCAGGGUAACUGGUGGCUAUGUAAGGGAAGGGAGAAGCUUAAAAUGAACCAAGGAAGGAUGCAGGAAGUGGAGAGGUGGGCUGAGAAUCAGGCUCCUAGGAGUGCAGUGGGAAGGAGUCCAAAGGUUAAAGUCUGGGAAGCCUGGGCUUGGUCAGGAGGUGGGGAGAAGGAAGUCAUUCCAGAUGGAGGCGGUAACAGUGUGAACCCAUCUGUGAGGGUUCAUUUUGUGUGUCAACUUGACUGGGCUAAGGAUGCCCAGAUAGCUGGUAAAACAGUAUUUCUGGGUAUGUCUGUGAGGGUGUUUCCAGAAGAGAUUAGCAUUUGAAUCUGUAAAUUGAGUAAAAAAGAUUCAUCCUUGCCAAUGUCGGCAGGCGUCAUCCAGUCCAUUGAGGGCCAGAUUAGAACAAAAAGGUGGAGGAAGGGCAAAUUCUGUCUUUCUUCUUGAGCCAGGACAUCCAUCUCUCCUGCCCUCAGACAUCGGAACCGGAGCUUCCGGUUCUUGGGCCUUGGACUCUGGGACUGACACAAGGCUGGCCUUCCUUUGUCCUUGGACUGGUUCUCCAGCGUGCUGGCAGCAGGUCAUGGCAUACCUCAGCCUCCAUCCUCGUGUAAAUCAAUUCCUUAAUGAGCGUCAGAAAGGAGUCCAGAGGACAGGUUCUCUCUCCACUUCCUCAGCCUGCUGAGGACUGAGGCUGACAACAAGCAGGUAAGAUCUUAUAGGGUGAUGUACUCUUAGCAGAAUGAACUUUUCUAAUGAUUUCCAGAAGGCUGAGUUUCCUCACCACUCCUGGAUCUUGCCUCUGUUCUGUUCUGUGAUUUGCAUUAAGAAAAAAAAAAGAUACAGCUUCUCCACUGUGCUGUGAACUCUUUGAGAUAAGGAACUGUGUUUUUGCAAAUUUCCCUCCUAAGACCUAGCAUGGGGUAGGUGUUCAACAAAUAUUUGAUGAGUUAAUGAAUGAAAUCCAAAUACUCUCAUUAUGCUUUUCUGGCUGGGUAGAGAAGAGUCCCAGAACAACAUCAUUUAUAUUUUUUUCUCCUUCAACAGACCCUAGAAAUUCUCCACAAUGCAUCCAUUCUCAGAUGUGUGGAUUUCCAGGCAAGUGUUCUGCACACAAAAACUGCUCCAUAUAUGUUACUGGUUCAUCUAACUAAAGACCCCAGAAGAGACUAGCACCCCAAAGGAGCAAAUAUUUCUCUUCUGGGCUCCCCAACUUAAAGCAAACAUCGCUAUUAUGAGCAGGCAGUAGGCAGUUAAUAAAUACUUCUUGACUAAUUAGGGAGUGUGAGUAUGCAAAAGUGGUGAAUUAGAAAGAAAGAAAGAGAGCUGCAUUAAAGAUAAUCAAACCACGAAGUAUCUAGAACAAUAGCUUCUCCCCUGCAUUGUGUGUGUAGGGAGAGAAAGGCUGGCUAGCUGGCAGCUCUCCCUUCUCAUUAGUCUCCACCAGGAUAGUAUUGCAAUUAGCUCCGGAUGGCACAGCAAUUAUCUUCUAUUCUUGGAACAAACUCCUGGGAGAUCUGAGUUUGGGUGGUGAAGGAAGGUUUUACCAGGGACAGAUAAAUUCACUGUGAACCCCUUCUGAGUGAAUACUCCGCGUGUGGCUAAUAGAAUGUUAGCCAUCAAUGUAAACCUGACUGGUGGCUUCGUUUUAUAUCAAUGACACUUAAACACGAGCUCAAGAAUUUGGAUGGCCAAUUAACAGAACAUGUUUCGGGAAAUUAUAGGUUUCAAAUUUCAGAAAAAUCGGUGAAUUUAGACAACUCGAAUAUCUGCUCCUCAUUAAGGUUCUGGCUGACACGGGCUUGCUACUGAGAUGGGGACUGAAAGGAGUAAAAAAAUAAUGUUCUCAAUUAUCUUGCCAGUUAUUGAGCCGGGUAAAGACUCCACCUCACCGCCCACUUGACAAUCCCUUUUAAACAGCUAAAUUUCCUGCAUUUUAAUCAGCUGACAGACCCAGGAGGACGGGCUGUCUGGGAUGUUUGCUCGCCCUGGCUGGGGAGGACCGGGCUUGGCAGGCACAGGGGCCUCCAAGGUCCUUGUGGAGGGUCCUUGCCAAGAAGAGAGCCUCUUCCUGGGGUCAGAACCAAGCCACAAAUCCUGGCUCUCCGACCCCUCCAACCAGCAGAUCUUCGCUUCCUCUUCCACCCGUCAUGCUUUUCUUUCUUCUGUGACAGGAACGACAGCCGUAGGGCCUGGAGUGUUUUGUCAAAGGGCCUAAGCUAGAAUCCUGCCUGGCUCCACUGCCUGCUAGUUGGGUGACUCCAGCUUUCUGAGGCCCAGUUUCUCCCUCUAGAAAAUGGGUAUGAUAAUAUCUGCCGGAAUCAUCCAGAAGGUGCUGGAAAGAGGAGGUGCCUGGAUGACUGCCCUGAGCCUGCAGGAAUUGUAUCCACUGGUUUUGUUGCCCACAGUCAUUACGGGAAUGCUGAUGAUCACCUGUGCUUAGGACGAGCCCCAGGAGCUCUGUGUUGAUGCAGGGCUUCCCUGCAGAUGGUGCUGCGGCCCGGAGAAUGCUGCUAGCGAUAGGUGGGGAGAGGGGCAGCUGCACCUGAGGGUUCAGCAAAAGAGUGAUUAAGAACUGCCUUUCAGAAAAUCUGCAAAAUCACACAGCCAGGGCACGUGCAAAAGAAGAUAUUGUACCUGAAACGACCUUGGAACUAAAGAUCCUCCUCCCCACGGAACCCAAGGACGGAGACGUGACCGGAACCUGAAGGUCGGACUCAGCAGAAGCGAGGGGUUCCUCAUUCUGAAGAUCCUUCCCCACCCUGUCAUAAAUGUUGAAAACUUCGCCAUAAAUGCUUGAAGCCCACCACCCAAUACCCGUUCCAUCUGCGUUUCCAUGUACCAGCCCUAAGCUCUUAAAUUUUGCCCCAAAUCCUGAAUGGAGAAGACAGAUCUCAGGGCACACACCCCCUUUCUCCUUGCAGAUGGAUCUUGCAGAAUAAAAGCCGAUUUCUCCUGCAAAGGCUGAUGCCUUAUUUAUUGGCUUAUUUAUGCACAACGGGCAGAGAACACCAAUUUUGUGCAGUAACAGGGUUGGGGAGUUUGAGGGGUUGAC
ensembl:lncRNA